rnacentral:rRNA from 1 species
GGUAACACCGGCAGCCCGAGUGGUGAUCACUAUUAUUGGGUCUAAAGGGUCCGUAGCCGGUUUAAUCAGUCUUCUGGGAAAUCUAAUCGCUUAACUAUUAGGCUUCCAGGGGAUACUGUUAGACUUGGGACCGGGAGAGGUAAGAGGUACUGCAGGGGUAGGAGUGAAAUCUUGUAAUCCCUGUGAGACCACCAGUGGCGAAGGCGUCUUACCAGAACGGGUCCGACGGUGAGGGACGAAAGCUGGGGGCACGAACCGGAUUAGAUACCCGGGUAGUCCCAGCUGUAAACGAUGCUCGUUAGGUGUCAGGAACGGUGCGACUGUUUCUGGUGCCGAAGGGAAGCCGUGAAACGAGCCACCUGGGAAGUACGGCCGCAAGGCUGAAACUUAAAGGAAUUGGCGGGGGAGCACUACAACGGGUGGAGCCUGCGGUUUAAUUGGACUCAACGCCGGAAAACUCACCGGGGGCGACAGCAAUAUGUAGGUCAGGUUAAAGGUCUUACCUGAAUCGCUGAGAGGAGGUGCAUGGCCGUCGUCAGUUCGUACUGUGAAGCAUCCUGUUAAGUCAGGCAACGAGCAAGACCCGUGCCCACUGUUACCAGCAUAUCCUUUAUGGAUGAUGGGGACUCUGUGGGGACCGCUGCUGCUAAAGCAGAGGAAGGUGCGGGCUACGGUAGGUCAGUAUGCCCCGAAUCUCCCGGGCUACACGCGGGCUACAAUGGUUGGGACAAUGGGUAUCUACUCCGAAAGGAGUUGGCAAUCUCUUAAACCCAAUCGUAGUUCGAAUUGAGGGCUGUAACUCGCCCUCAUGAAGCUGGAAUCCGUAGUAAUCGCGUUUCAACAUAGCGCGGUGAA